rnacentral:rRNA from 1 species
GGAGCNUGUGGUUUAAUUCGAAGCAACGCGAAGAACCUUACCAGGUCUUGACAUCCUUUGACCACUCGAGAGAUCGAGCUUUCCCUUCGGGGACAAAGUGACAGGUGGUGCAUGGUUGUCGUCAGCUCGUGUCGUGAGAUGUUGGGUUAAGUCCCGCAACGAGCGCAACCCUUAUUACUAGUUGCCAGCAUUCAGUUGGGCACUCUAGUGAGACUGCCGGUGACAAACCGGAGGAAGGUGGGGAUGACGUCAAAUCAUCAUGCCCCUUAUGACCUGGGCUACACACGUGCUACAAUGGAUGGUACAACGAGUCGCGAAGUCGUGAGGCCAAGCUAAUCUCUUAAAGCCAUUCUCAGUUCGGAUUGUAGGCUGCAACUCGCCUACANGAAGCCGGAAUCGC